rnacentral:rRNA from 1 species
GAAAGGCGCUUUUGCGUCACUGAUGGAUGGACCCGCGGUGCAUUAGCUAGUUGGUGAGGUAACGGCUCACCAAGGCAACGAUGCAUAGCCGACCUGAGAGGGUGAUCGGCCACAUUGGGACUGAGACACGGCCCAAACUCCUACGGGAGGCAGCAGUAGGGAAUCUUCGGCAAUGGACGAAAGUCUGACCGAGCAACGCCGCGUGAGUGAAGAAGGUUUUCGGAUCGUAAAACUCUGUUGUUAGAGAAGAACAAGGAUGAGAGUAGAAUGUUCAUCCCUUGACGGUAUCUAACCAGAAAGCCACGGCUAACUACGUGCCAGCAGCCGCGGUAAUACGUAGGUGGCAAGCGUUGUCCGGAUUUAUUGGGCGUAAAGCGAGCGCAGGCGGUUUCUUAAGUCUGAUGUGAAAGCCCCCGGCUCAACCGGGGAGGGUCAUUGGAAACUGGGAAACUUGAGUGCAGAAGAGGAGAGUGGAAUUCCAUGUGUAGCGGUGAAAUGCGUAGAUAUAUGGAGGAACACCAGUGGCGAAGGCGGCUCUCUGGUCUGUAACUGACGCUGAGGCUCGAAAGCGUGGGGAGCAAACAGGAUUAGAUACCCUGGUAGUCCACGCCGUAAACGAUGAGUGCUAAGUGUUGGAGGGUUUCCGCCCUUCAGUGCUGC